rnacentral:rRNA from 1 species
AUUGAACGCUGGCGGCAGGCCUAACACAUGCAAGUCGAACGAGGGGCGGACGGGAGAGUAAUGUCGGGGAAAAUGCCCGAUGGAGGGGGAUAACUACGGGAAACGGUCGCUAAUACCGCAAAAACUCGGAUGUGCCCAGAUGGGAUUAGCUAGUAGGUGGGGUAAUGGCUCACCUGGGCGACGAUCCCUAGCUGCUCUGAGAGGAUGACCAGCCACACUUGAACUGAGACACGGUCCAGACUCCUACGGGAGGCAGCAGUGGGGAAUAUUGCACAAUGGGCGCAAGCCGGAUGCAGCCAUGCCGCGUGUAUGAAGAAGGCCUUCGGGUUGUAAAGUACUUUCAGCGAGGAGGCGUUACUCGCAGAAGAAGCACCGGCUAACUCCGUGCCAGCAGCCGCGGUAAUUC